rnacentral:rRNA from 1 species
GUGGGGAAUAUUAGGCAAUGGGCGAAAGCCUGACCUAGCAACGCCGCGUGAAGGAAGAAGGCCUUCGGGUUGUAAACUUCUUUUAUGAGGGACGAAGGACGUGACGGUACCUCAUGAAUAAGCCACGGCUAACUACGUGCCAGCAGCCGCGGUAAUACGUAGGUGGCGAGCGUUGUCCGGAUUUACUGGGUGUAAAGGGCGCGUAGGCGGACUGGCAAGUCAGAUGUGAAAUACAGGGGCUCAACCCCUGAACUGCAUUUGAAACUGUUGGUCUUGAGUAUCGGAGAGGCAAGCGGAAUUCCUAGUGUAGCGGUGAAAUGCGUAGAUAUUAGGAGGAACACCAGUGGCGAAGGCGGCUUGCUGGACGACAACUGACGCUGAGGCGCGAAAGCGUGGGGAGCAAACAGGAUUAGAUACCCGGGUAGUCC